UACGGAGGGGGUUAGCGUUGUUCGGAAUUACUAGGCGUAAAGCGCACGCAGGCGGUUUGUUAAGCUAGAUGUGAAAGCCCCGGGCUCAACCUGGGAUGGUCAUUUAGAACUGGCAGACUAGNGUCUUGGAGAGGGGAGUGGAAUUCCAGGUGUAGCGGUGAAAUGCGUAGAUAUCUGGAGGAACAUCAGUGGCGAAGGCGACUCCCUGGCCAAAGACUGACGCUCAUGUGCGAAAGUGUGGGUAGCGAACAGG
rnacentral:rRNA from 1 species